GCCGGAGUGGCGGAACUGGCAGACGCACAGGACUUAAAAUCCUGCGGUCCUAAAAGAUCGUACCGGUUCGAUUCCGGUCUCCGGCACCA
rnacentral:tRNA from 1 species